CUCAGAGUUCACAUAUGGUGAAGUGCACAGGUGUCCAGUCAGGUUCAGACUGAUGCUGGUAACAAGAGGAAAACAUGCUAAUUGGUCAGUCCAUGAGCCCACGUCUUCAGGUCAUGGGCCUGAGAAGAAUCUACCGUUACAGGGGUCAGAAGAGAUCCUCAAACUAUGCUGACAUUACUACCCCUGUACUUCAACCCCUCUG